rnacentral:rRNA from 1 species
UACGUAGGGUGCGAAGCGUUGUCCGGAAUUAUUGGGCGGUAAAGAGCUCGUAGGCGGCUAGUCACGUCGGAAUGUGAAAACCCGAGGCUCAACCUCGGGCCUGCAUUCGAUACGGGCUGGCUAGAGUGACUGCAGGGGAGACUGGAAUUCCGUGGUGAUAGCGGUGAAAUGCGCAGAUAUCGGGAGGAACACCAAUGGCGAAGGCAGCCUCGCUGGGACGGUACUGACGACUGAGGC